rnacentral:lncRNA from 1 species
AUUUUAUCACUCUUCUAUUCUGAAGCAUGGAUUAAUUGUGCAAGAUCAGGGUGGGAGAAAAAUCAUGACAGAUGAUACAGCCCUGUGCUCCAACUAUUGGCAAGAACAAUGUUUGGGGCCUUGGCGGAACUGGGCCAUAUGAACUCACAUCCAUACACCACUGGGCUAAAGUUCUUCAUAAGAGGAAUGGAUGAGAAGAUGGAGACAGAGCUGCAUGGGAAACAAAGCAUCGUGGCAGCAUAGUACAAUGUUAAGAGCAUUUAUGGACUUCGAAAGUUUGGGUUUCAGCCCCAUACCUGAUAGUCUCAAAUGUCAUGUCAAAGUCUCAGAUUCUUCACCUGAAAAAUAAAUAACAGUUUAUGUUUGAGGA